rnacentral:rRNA from 1 species
UACGUAGGGGGCAAGCGUUGUCCGGAAUUAUUGGGCGUAAAGAGCGUGUAGGCGGUCCGGUAAGUCAGCUGUGAAAGUCAAGGGCUCAACCCUCGAAUGCCGGUGGAUACUGUCGGGCUAGAGUGCGGGAGAGGCGAGUGGAAUUCCUGGUGUAGCGGUGAAAUGCGCAGAUAUCAGGAGGAACACCAAUUGCGAAGGCAGCUCGCUGGAACGUAACUGACGCUGAGACGCGAAAGCGUGGGGAGCAAACAGG